UACGUAGGUGGCAAGCGUUGUCCGGAUUUACUGGGCGUAAAGAGCGCGCAGGCGGUCGUUCAAGUCGCGUGUGAAAGCCCCCCGGCUCAACUGGGGAGGGUCACGCGAUACUGAUCGACUCGAAGGCAGGAGAGGGUAGUGGAAUUCCCGGUGUAGUGGUGUAAAUGCGUAGAUAUCGGGAGGAACACCAGUGGCGAAGGCGGCUUCCUGGACCGACACUGACGCUGAGGCGCGAAAGCUAGGGGAGCAAACGGGG
rnacentral:rRNA from 1 species